AUUGAACGCUGGCGGCAGGCCUAACACAUGCAAGUCGAACGGUAACAGGAAGCAGCUUGCUGCUUCGCUGACGAGUGGCGGACGUGUGAGUAAUGUCUGUGAAACUGCCUGAUGGAGGGGGAUAACUACUGGAAACGGUAGCUAAUACCGCAUAACGUCUCAAGACCAAAGAGGGGGACCUUAGGGCCUCUUUCCUUCGGAUUUGCCCAGAUGGGAUUAGCUAGUAGGUGGGGUAACGGCUCACCUAGGCCACGAUCCCUAGCUGGUCUGAGAGGAUGACCAGCCACACUGGAACUGAGACACGGUCCAGACUCCUACGGGAGGCAGCAGUGGGGAAUACUGCACAAUGGGCGAAAGCCUGAUGCAGCAAUGCCGCGUGUAUGAAGAAGGCCUUCGGGUUGUAAAGUACUUUCAGCGGGGAGGAAGGAAGUAAAGUUAAUACCUUUGCUCAUUGACGUUACCCGCAGAAGAAGCACCGGCUAACUCCGUG
rnacentral:rRNA from 1 species